GUGCUCGCUUCGGCAGCACAUAUACUAAAAAUUGGAACGAUACAGAGAAGAUUAGCAGGGCCCCUGCGCAAAAGGAAAAUAUGCUUCAUGUAACUAAAGAAAGGAUGUAA